rnacentral:lncRNA from 1 species
AUGGUGCACGUACUCAGAGGGCUUCCAAGGCUGAAGAAUCUCAUGCUCAAGGACAACCCUGUGGCCCGAGACAACCGUUACACCACGGCCAUCAGAGAGUCCACCUGUGUGGAAAUCCUGGACGGCAUGUUUCUCUGGGAUCCCUCAAGGCUUGCUGCUGUGCCCUUCAACGUGUGGCCGCAUCUUCAGGAAUCGACCUCGGGUUCGGCCAACGUAGCCCACGUCAAAGCAGACCUGGAGCAGGUGGCUAAAAGGGUUUUCAGUGAACGGCUGAAGCGGAAGAAGGAUGAUACGGCAGCAGCUGUCCAUCAUUUUCAUUCCAGAAUAUUGGAACUUCAAGAAGAGUUGAUAGAAUAUGAAGAGAAACUCACGCUGGAAGUGGACGGCUGCUUAAGAUACAUAGAGUCCUUCCCAGACUUGGAUAGUCCCUGGGAAAUCGCCGCAUCCCUGGACAAGUACCUCUUUACCAAAUUCUGGGAGAAGUGGCAAAAUGGUCGGAGGAAACCAGCGUGCCUUCCAUACAAGGAGCUAACCAAGCCAGAAGAGACCAACCAAGAUGGCCGCCAAACAGUUCUCCCUGGCACCUGAAACUGUUUC